rnacentral:lncRNA from 1 species
GUCGGAGAAAUCUUCCACAGUGCGAUAAGCUAGUGGAACGAACAUCGGAGCGUUGGGAUUCAACGAGGAGGAGGUGGUUCUUGUUGAAGAGAGUACUUCCAUUGAUGUGGUGGAAAACAAGAUAAGGAUAACGUAGUGAUGGAGAGAGAGAGUGAAAAGAGUAAAGUGUGUAACCAGUGUUGCUGAAAGGUUGGAUUGUUGAUGCUUAUCUUCGAACCUAUGGGCACUAUUUAUAGGCGUAUUUGAGAUACUUGUAUUCUAGAUAUUAUUACUAGUAGUUGAAAGACGAAAAUACCCUUCUAUCCGUUGGUUUAUUUUAGUAUUAUAUAAAUUUUAUGAUAAUUUAUUAUUUUUAAUUAAUUUUAUUUGUUUUAUUACUUUUUUUAAAAAAUAUUUUUUUUUUGUUUUACGUUUGAAAUUAAUUAAAAAGAAUAUCUUAUUAAAAGAAAAUUUUAAAAUAGACGGAUUAUUUUUAUGUUUUCUACAAUUAAAUAUAUAGAUUUAGAAUUAAAUUUUAAAAAUGAUUGAAUUGGUAAAAGAUUAUUUGUUCGAGAACAUUAGUUAUUUAAGACUAAGGGUAAUGCUAACUUGUGCCUCAAGGCACAAGUUAAGAGAUGAAUAUAGAAACAAAUUCUUGAAAAAUGUGUAUUGAAUUUAUUAGAAAUUUAUCAUUAAUAAUUUUAUUUAUUUUUCCAAAACAAAUUUUUUAUUUGUGGAUUUCUUAACAUGUGUCAUUGGGGCAUAAGUUAGCAUUACCCUUAAAAUUACUUAAAAUUACUUAUCGUAUAGAAUCUCAACACUCUCGUACACUUAAUUUUAAUUAAAUUUGAAACAUAACAUUUAAUUCAUUAAUGUUAUGGUAUGUUAUAUAUAUAUAUAUAUAUAUAUAUAUAUAUAUAUNUAUAUAUAUAUAAAAGUUGUUAGUUAUUUUCUUAUUAUUAAUUAAUUGGAUAUUGUUAUCGAAAUUCUUAUCAAACUAAUCCAUUUUUCAUAUUAAUUUUCAAACUACCUCACUUUUAAGAGGUGUCGCUAAAUGAAUUGACGUUUGCUCUCUAAAUUAAAGAGGUGGUGUCAAUUGGAUUGACUUAUGCAUAUGGUGUUGUCAAUCUAAUUGGCGUCCAUGUGUAAAAAAGGAGAGGAGGUGUCAAUUGGUUCGGCGGCGCCUCUGUGUAUUGCGUAAUUUUUUUUGUAUAAAUAGAGGUGUUGUGUGAUUCAUUUUUUCCAUAUUUCUUUUUAUUAUAUUACAAACAUGGUUCGUCUUCGUCGCUGCUAUAGAAAAGUGGUUUAUUCGAGAGACAAGUCUCCGAUGAAGAUGCUCUUUUGGAACAUCUGUCGUUUCGAGCAACUACAGAGCGAGUUGGUUCUUGGUUAGACGAAAACAUACCUGAAGGCGAAAAAAUAGAAGUAUUGAGAGACUCGAUGCCUUACAUGGACGAGUGUGAGUAAAAAAUGAUAAAGAUGCUAGAGAAGUGAUGUUUGGACCAAAUGAUAUCAGUUUGAUUGUUGUAAUAUGUUAGAAAUGUUGUUUUUAAAUGUUAUGGUUGUUGCGCCAAAAGUCAACUAUUAACCAAAAGUCAAUUGUUGAUCAAAAGUCAAUUGUUGUAUAAAUGGUCAAUUGUGUAGCCUUUGUACAUGUAUGGACUUUGGAUCUGAUUGUAUGAAAUGAUAUUUGAUAUUUGAAUGCAUUGACUGUUUGAAAUGAAUUAUAUGGAUAUGUAAGAUAUUGAAAUGAAUGAACAUGAUAACAUGAAUCAAUGGACAAAAGUUUUGAAUGAAUCAAGACCUAAGGACCAAAAUGGAUAAUGAUUAGGACCUAUCCAACGAUUCAUGGACCAAACACCAAUGAAAAUGGCAUGGAAUAUACUAAGUGAUGAACUUGAUGAAUACCUAAUCAUGGAUCAAUGAUCAUGAUCACAACUUGGAUGAACAAUGCCAAGCAUGAAACAAACUCUAGCAAGGCCCAUAAUGUACAAUGAACUAGAUCAUAAUCAAAGAUUCAUGGACCAAACAACAAUGGCAAUGCAAAUGGCAUGAAUGAUAUUGGCCAUAUGAAAUAGGUUAGGCAUGGACUAGGCAUGAGGAUAUGAUCAGAUGCAAUACUAGGGAUGAACUGAAUCACAUGGAAGUUAUGAUGCCAUGAAAAUGGGCUUGAAUUAAUGAACAUAGACAAGCAAAGAUGAACAUGUAAAGCCAUUAAGUGAAUGCUAAACAGACCAAAGAAACCUCCAUAAUAGACCAUGAACAAGUGGGUCUUGAAUGGAUCUUAACCAGAUAAGUGAAGCAUACACAAUGGAUGAUGCAACAACCAUAUGGCUACCAAACACCACAACAAUUAUUUCAACCUUUCCUUGACGCAUCAUUCACACCAAUGUCUCCCUUCAAUCAUCCUGGUCGCCCUUCAAUAAGUCAAACACGUCCCACUACUCUGGCAUGGGUCACGAACUCAGCUAUGACGGUAGCGCUUUACUGCAGGUGGUGGUGAUGUUCCUGGGCCCUCAAAUCCUCAAACAUAUUGGGUGAAUCAUCAACGUGGGUUACGGUCACGCGUUCGGGUAGCUAGGGGAUGUGGUACAAGAGGUCGGUUAGGUCAUCCCGAUCAAUGACAUUAGUCUUUAUGGUAUUCGUAUGUAAACACAUAUUAAUAUUAAUAUCAAUUGGUCUGAUUUCAACUUUUAUAUAAAUUGUAUAUUGUUUAUUAAAAAAAUUACACAACACACAUAGGUGUCACACCAAUUGGUGCCUCCUUUAAAACCUAACAAAAAGGCGCCAAUUGGAUUGGCAGCACCAUGUGCAUAAGCCAAUCCAAUUGGCGCCACCUCUUUAAUUUGGAGUGCAGACGUCAAUUCAUUUGGUGUCACCUCUUAAAAGUGGGGUAGUUUGGGAAUUAAUCUGAAAAGUGAGUUAUUUUGGGAAUUUUUUUGAAAAAAUGGGUUAGUUGAGUAAAAUUUAAUUGCUAUCACUCGAAGAAAAAUGUAGUUUUAGAACAACUGUCUUUUUAUGGAGAAAAUGAAGCAAAUGUUACUCCUCCGUCCCACAAUAUCUAUUUGCAAUAAAAGAGUAUAUCAAAAUGAAUGAUUUAUUUCAAAUUUUAGUUUUUUUUAAUUUGAUCUUCUAAUUAAUAUUUUAUUACUUUUAUCAUUUCUAAUAUAUGAUAAGGGUAUUUUAGUAAAAAUAUAAUUUUCUCUUUCUUUUUUUAAAAUCUAUGUAGUAUGGAGGAAAUAAUAAAUUAAGUUAAGGAUAAAGAUGAUUUGUGUCUUAAAAGCAUAAAUUAAGAAAUAAAUAAAAAAUAUUAUAUUAGAAAUUAUGCGUUGAUUUUAAUAAAAAUAUAAAAUUAAUAUUUUUAAUUAUUUGUUUAAUAUAAAUUUUUUAUAAGUAGGUUUUUUAACUUGUCCAUCUUAAUACACAAGUUAACAUUACUCUUAAAUUAAAUAUAAAUACUUGAAUUUUAUUGAACAAUUUUUUGUUUUAAAAAGACUGUAUACAUUAUUUUAAAAGUUUUAAAUUCUUUUAAGACACUUCUUAACAUGUAUUUUAUUAUUUCAAUAUUUUGCUAACCAAUGUUUAAAUUGUUAAAAAAAUGUAUAAAAAAAAUUAAAUAUAUGUCAAAUAUGAGUAUUUAUCAAUAUGAUAAAUAUAACAUUUUUUGAUACAUGGUAUUUUUUUUUGGCAUUGUCUUAUUUGUUGUUAGUCAAUCAAUAUUAAAUAAUUUAAAAUUUGAUUAAUAUAAUUUAGUAAGAAAACAUGUGUUCUAACAUAUUUGGUAUCUUAAGUACGAUCCUUGAUUGUAUAGAACACACAUAUUCAUAAUUUUGUUUCCAUUAUUAAUCAAGUAUAGAUGGAUGGUGGUUAUUAAAAAAGAUUUUGAGUUUAACAAUUUAGAUAAAAGCAUGGUCCUGAAAAAAACUUUAUGGCGAAAGUUGAUCAAUAUAAUUGACCCCACUUAGUGGGAUAAGGCUUGAUUGUUAUUGUUGUUGUAUAGAUGGAUGGCGGUAAUGAUUUUUCAAACACACUUACAAUCUUUGAUGGAAAGAAUUAGGAGAGAUGACAAAAAUAAAUGAAGACUUUGUUUGGCUAGCAAGACAUACUCGGAGUAGUUAAAAAAAGAGUUUAAGAACUCUGAGCAAAUGCAACUAAAGCACAUAAGAAUGUUCAUAAGGAAGAGAAGAAGAAAGAUUGCAAAGUUAUAUACUCAAUACAAGCAGUAGUAUAUGCUGCAAAAUUUGACGAAAUUUUUCAUGUUGACAAGGCAAAUGAGGCAUGGGACAUCUUGAUCGAAUAUUAUGAAGGAGGUGACAAAGUGAAAGUUGUUAAGUUGCAAUCUCUAAGAAGAUAGUAUGAAUUGCUACAAAUGGAGAAUAAUGAAAAUAUUGAAACCUAUGCAGCAAAGAUUCAAGGCUUGGUUCACAUGAUAAAAAGUUAUAGUGAAUUCAUGAAAACUGCUGAUAGAAAAGGUCAAGUUAUUGAUAGUGGAAAUCCCAAGAGGAAACUAUUUAGUACUGGAGUGAGUCAUGUAAUUUAAGGUCAAACUAGGAUAAUCUCUGGUGUGUUCUCUCUAACUUUUUUUUUAUUUCGCAACUUAAUCUCAGCUUCUACCCUCUUCUUAAAAUCAACCAAGUCAAUAUAAAUCGAUUUUCUAAAAAGUUUUUAAAAUACAAAUAUCACAAAAUCACUCAUCCUUCUCUUGUGUUUGGAGUCACUUAUUCAAUACAAGAGCCAGUUUAAGAUCUGCAGACUCCAACUUCCAAUCAGAAUGGUGGUUCUGAUAGGCAUAAAGGUAAGAAGACUCUAGAUAAAUUCAAGAAGUAUACAUACUCAAUCUCCCAAAAUACUAAGCUUUAUGGUAAACCUAAAUCCUUCACGAAAGGAGUGUUGAAGUAGUUAAGUAAAACACAAGAGAAUGGGGUGAAUUGUGUUUAAAACGGUUUAUGUUAGUUCAACAGAGAAGAAGAAGAAGAAGAAGAAGAAGAAGAAGAAGAAGAAGAAGAAAGUAAAUGACAUAAAUUAAAGUGAAAGAGUUAGAGAGAGUGCACCACAAAUUUAUAUAGGUUCAACCUACCACUUGUCCUACUCUUAUCCCUAAUAUUUUACUCUUGAGAGUUCCAUUAAUAUUGAGACUUGAGAUUUUAAGGAUAUGCCCACGAAUAUUUUACAACAAUGAGAAAAUUAUUUUAACGAUCAGAUAUCGCUUUCACACUGUCGUACUCAAAUCAAUAUCUAAAUAUUUUUUGCUUUCGCGCAAAAAAUUUAACUUUUUGAAACACAAUUCAGAACCAGAAAAUUGUUUUAUUAUAAAAAUUCAAUGUCAUAAUUUUAUCAAGUCUCGUUGGAAUGACGAUCCUCACAUUCUGAGCUCUAUGAACUUAGUCGGACAUAUCUAACUAAUUAAUUAAUUAAUUUCUAAAUGAAAUCUAAUUAGCCUUUUAACUUUAUUUGAUCACUUAAUUGCUUAAGGCACUUAAUUUGAUAAAAUAGCUAAUGUAAUAUAUUAGUAUGAAUGUUAGUAUGAAUGUUGCAGCAAUUCAACAUAUAAAUUAGUAAUGGCAAUAAAAUAAAGAUACAAAAAUUAGACGUACUGAAUGUAAACAACUGCAAAACCUGAUACUGCAAAACUUCUGAAAUAAAUUCUAAAAAUAUUCUGGCAGGAUUACAAUACGAAUGAUCCAAAUCUCUCCAGCGAAACUUCUGAUUUUAACUCUAAAGUGCAGCAAUUCAUUAGUGUGAGAAAUAACUUCUUUACAAAGUACUUUUCUGCCUAACAAUUACUCUAGAGUAACUUGGAUCAUGAAAAGCUGAAAACUCAACCUAUUUAUAGAGCUAAAACUGGUGUUAAGAGUGCUGAAAAAUCGUGUUGGAGGAGUGAGAGAAAUAUCUGUUGAAGUGGGAGAAGAAUGAGUUCAAUUAGUUGUUAUUUUUCUGGGCACGAAGUUCAUGGCGAACGCCAUGGCCUCUUGGCAAAUGCCAUGAGUACAAAGGUUGCAGAACAUGGCUUUCAAGUCCAUGGAGAACGUCAUGAGUUCAAAAUUGUUGUUCCUUGAUUGGUAUUUUUUAUUAGGCGGCACCAAUGGCUGCCACGUUAUGGCAACCACCAUGGUGAGCACCAUGAGUGCAUAAUCUUGGUAUUUACGCCGUCUUCGUCCCAUUUUCUCACACGGAUACUCCUACUAGGGAAAUACUUGAAACAAACACAAUAUACCAGCAUAACACAAUAAAAAGGAGACAAAAUCAGGUAAAAUGUCAUGUGCGUCGAGUCAAAAACGUGAUGUGUUUCGUGGUUAUCAAAUUCCCUCAUACUUGAACCCUUGCUUGUCCUCAAGUAAGUUGCUAGCAUAUAUGAUUUUUUUUUGUAAAUGCAGCAUUUUAGUAUGAAGACUUAAAGAAACCAUAGCAUUCAAAUACUCGUACAUGGCCACAAAAUCCAUUUCGGUCAAAAUUGACUUUAUAGGUACAAAUUGUUCACCAAGGAUAUCGUGAAAACACACUUCUGCAUUUUACGGUCAAAAGUCUCCCUCCUAUGCAAACUAAUAUGUAUCAUGCCGUUAUGCAUAAACCUAACUCGCUCGUCCCUUUUUCAUUCUAACACAAUCAUAUUAAGCUCGUUAUCCUUUCACGCUCAUAGUAUGAAAAUAUGUUAGUGACUAUGAUCUGGUUUUAUCAAUUUGUGCACUUUGGAUUUAUUCAUUAAUAAAUAAAAGGAUAAGUUAUCAUUGGGCUAAAUGAUCGGGUGAGAGUGACCUAACUUAUAAGGAACAUUCCCUUUUUAUUCAUUUACCUUUUAAGGUCAUGAUCAUUCACUUAUUUGCAUCAAAUUCCCUACGUAGUGUAUGCUUUAAGAUGGUGUUGACUACUUAGAUAAACUACUCAAGGAUUAUUAGAACACAAGAACUCAAGGUUCAGGCAUAAGAGAUAUUCAAAUUGAUCUCCAUAUUUGGGAGGCUUGAGGUGUUGGGACGAUAUCGAUUUUGCAACAAUUUUCCCAUGUCUCCUCAAUCUAGCCUCUAUUUCAUUUGCAGCCUAUAUACUUUCUAAUCAUGCUACCGAUUUCAAGUUUUAUCGACAGGGCUCAAGAAACUGGGAGAUUCGAUAAACAAUAAGAAACCAUGCAUAAAGACUCGACAUCACAUGAAUUGACUCAAAUAACAACUCAAAUAAAAAUUAAACUAAUAAGCGGUAAAAAUCCUAAUUAACAUGAAUAAACUAGAAAACGGUAAAUCUAACUAGAAAACAAUAAAAGGAAAAAAAUAAAGUUCUUCCCCCACACUUUAACCGAAAAUUGUCCUCAAUGUUUCAAUAAAAGUGGGAAAAGGAAAAGAAUAACUUGGAUAAUGGAGAUCAAUGUCGACCAUGGGAACACAACGACAGUAGAUACCGGUGGCUCCUCUUUUGAAAAGGAAGGGUUCAUCCCAAUAGAAUUUUUUCUGAUCAUGGAAGAAUUUCUUCUUCUGUUGGUAAUUCAUAUUUGGAGGUAGGACUCCGACUGUUAGGUAGUUUACAAAGUCAGUAUGUCAUGGAAUUUUAGUUUGUGCUAGGGAAACUUCUUCUUCUAUUUCAUUUUUAAUAAUGGAGCUACCUUUAUAAAAAUAAUAAUUGAAGUGAGCAUAACUAGGUUCUUCGGUUCCAAGUAACACGACUAUUAUAUCAUAUGGAAAAUCGUCAUUAAUGGGCACAUGUUCAGGUUUAAUAUUAUCUAGUCUAGACAGGUGAUCAGCUACCACGUUUUCGAUUUCCCUUUUGUCUCGUAUUUCUAAGUCAAAUUCCCGCAACAGUAGGAUCCAUCGAAGUACCUUGGAUUUGCAUCUUUCUUGCUUAAUAGAUACCUUAUAGUUGUAUGAUUUGUGUAGAUAAUGAUUUUAGCUCUUACUAAGUAAGAACGAAACUUAUAAAUUGCGAAUACUACAACUAGGAGCUCUUUUUCAGUCGUGGCAUAAUUUGUUUGAGCUUCAUCUAGGGACCUUAUUGCAUAAUAGAUGAUACACAAUUUUUUAUCUUUUCGUUGUCCUAAGACAAUGCCUACUGCAUAAUCACUUACGUCGCACAUGGUCUCGAAUGGCUGACUCCAAUCGGGAGGUUGCAUAAUAGGUGCGGAGAUCAGGGCAUGUUUAAGGAGUUGAAAUGAUUCAGUGCAUUUUUUAUCACAAAUAAACUCAAAUUCCUUCAUCAAGAUACUGGUUAGGGAUUUUGUGUUUUUAGAGAAAUCCUUAGUAAAACGUCGAUAGAAACCAGCACGUCCUAGAAAACUCUGGACUUCUAUGACAGUCUUAGGUGGUUGGAGGUUCUCAAUAACCUCAAUCUUAGCUUUAUCAAUCUUAAUUCCCCUUUCAGACACUAUAUGUCAUAGGACUACGCCCUAUUUUACCAUGAAGUGACAUUUCUCCCAAUUAAGCAUUAAGUUGACUUUCACACACCUCUCUAGUACCUUCUCUAAAUUAGCAAGGCACCCUUCGAAACUCGAUCCGCAUACGAAAAAGUCAUUCAUGAAUACUUCCAUGAUAUCAUAUAAGAAGUCUGCGAAUAUUACCAUCAUACAUCUUUGGAAAGUUGCAGAUGCAUUAUGUAACACCCCAGAUUGCUAUUAGGAUUAUCGACUGACCCCAGAAACCAACACUAGUUUUUUUAGCAUGUUUUAUCCUCACUCACACGCUUUCCAGGAAACUUCCCAGAAGGUCACCCAUCCAAAUACUACUCCAAGUUAAGCACACUUAACUAUGGAGUUUUUAUCUAUUUGGCUACCGAAAAGAAGAUGCAUCUUGUUGGUAUAGGUAGUACCAAUUAAUCCUUAUAAGUCAUCCUUCAACCAUGCAGUCUCAUACCUGCACGACCUCAGGAUCCCUCUCAUUCCGAUGUGAAUUCGGUUUUUUCCCUAGAAGCUACUAGGAGUGUCUCAUUGUCAUGCCUCGUGCACCUACAACCACUCCCUCGCCCUCGGGUGUAACAUGUAACCACUUUUUGGCCUCUCUGGCGUUACAUGCCCACCAGCGUUACAUGCCCACCAGCUUCCGCUUGGUUCGUCCCCGAACCACAUCGUACUGGGAGAGGUAUGGCUCUGGUACCAUUUAUAACACCCCAAAUUGCUUUUUAGGGUUACCGAGUGACCCCACAAACCAACACUAGUCUUUUCAGCAUGUUUUGUCCUCGCUCACACGCUUUCCAGGAAACUUCCCAGAAGGUCACCCAUCCAAAUACUACUCCAAGUCAAGCAUGCUUAACUAUGGAGUUCUUAUCUGUUUGACUACCGAAAAGAAGAUGCAUCUUGUUGGUAUAGGUAGUACCAAUUAAUCCUUAUAAGUCAUCCUUCAACCAUGCAGUCUCAUACCUGCACGGCCUCAGAAUCCCUCUCAUUCCGAUGUGAAUUUGGUUUUUCCCUAAAAGAUACUAGGAGUGUCUCAUUGUCAUGCCUCGUGCACCGACAACCACUCCCUCUCCCUCAGGUGUAACAUGUAACCAGUCUUUGGCCUCUCUGGCGUUAUAUGCCCACCACCUUUCGCUUGGUUCGUUCCCGAACCACAUCGUACUGGGAGAGGUAUGGCUCUGAUACAAUUUGUAACACCCCAGAUUGCUUUUAGGAUUAUCGACUGACCCCACAAACCAACACUAGUCUUUUCAGCAUGUUUUGUCCUCACUCACACGCUUUCCAGGAAACUUCCUAGAAGGUCACCCAUCCAAAUACUACUCCAAGUCAAGCACGCUUAACUAUGGAAUUCUUAUCUGUUUGGCUACCGAAAACAAGAUGCAUCUUCUUUUCGGUAGCCUAACAGAUAAGGAAGAGGGAAAUGGUCUUUUCGGGUGGCUUUGUUUAAUUCUUUAUAGUCAAUACACAUUCGCCACCCAGUCUCUACACACUUAGAUACAAAUUCAUCUUUUUCAUUCUUAACUAUUGUUAUUCCUCCUUUAUUUGGUACUACAUGUACUGGACUGGCCCAUUGACUAUCUGAUAUCAAAUAAAGUAUUCUAGCUUCAAGCAACUCUAACACUUCCUUUCUAACUACCUCGUUCAUAAUAGGGUUAAUCCUCCUAUGAUGUUCUCUAGAGGCUUUAGAGCCCUCUUCUAGCAUAAUUUUGUGCAUGCAUAUAGAGAGGCUAAUUCCUUUUAGAUCAAAGAUGUUAUGGCCUAAAGUUGAAGGGUAUUUCCUUAACACAACCAAAAGUUUCUCAGUUUUGUCUCUAUCAAGAUCAACAUUAACUAUUAUUGGACGAUCAAGUUGCUCGUCUAGAAAGUCAUAUCUCAGAUUUUUGGGAAGUUCCUUAAGUUCUACUGUUGGUUGCUUAGGUCUAGUCAUAAGAUUAGGAGUAAGUGAAAGAUAUUCUCUUAGGCUAUCCUCUACAUAUGGGAGAUAGUAUUCAACCUCAUCUUCUUCUACCAUGGCGGUGUCUGGAAGUUUGACCAACUCUGUAGUUGGUGGUGUUUCUGAUGCUAGCUCUUUUAUGCACUCAUCAAUAAUGUCUAUAAAACAACAGGUAUCAUCAAUAGUUGGAGCAUCUAGAAAUUGGGAAAGAAUAAACUUUAUUUUCUCCUCACCAAAUUCAAAGGUUAGUUUCCCUCGUUUCACAUCUAUGAUCGCACUGACUGUGGCUAAGAAGGGUCUUCCUAAGAAGAUGGGGAUGUUGGAGUCUUCCUUUAUAUCCAUCGCUAUAAAGUCUGUAGGAAUGUAAAAGUGGCCAAUACGCACUGGAAUAUUUUCCAACAUACCUAUUGGGUGCUUAACAGAGCGAUCGGCUAACUGGAGGGACAUCCUUGUAGAUCUUAAGUUUCCUAAGUUUAGCUUCUCACAGAUCGAGAUGGGCAUUAAGCUAACACUAGCUCCCAAAUCACAAAGUUCCUUGUCGAUGAUAAACUUGCCAAUUACACAUGGAAUAUAAAAACUACUUGGGUCUUUCAACUUUGGUGGCAUAUUGAUUUGGAUAAUGGCACUACACUCUACAGUGAGUGCCACUGUCUCGUCAUCUUCAAGUUUCUUCUUGUUUGAUAAGAUCUCUUUGAUAAACUUAUAGUAUGAGGGAAUUUGUGUAAUGGCCUUCGUGAAAGGUAUAGUAAUGUGAAGUUGCUUUAGUAGCUUGAUGAAUUUUUUAAACUAACCCUCAUGCUUAGAUUUUGCAAGUCUUUAAGGGUAUAAUAUAGGUGGCUUAUAAUGUAGUGGAGGUACAUAUGGCUUUUCUUUCUCGAAAGUUUCUUUGUUUAUGGUCAUCUCUUCAUUAUCAUAUAUUGGUGUUCUUACUUGGCGCUUAUCAGUCGCUUUCUCUGGUUCCUUCUUAACUCUCUUAUACAUCGUUUGAUCUAUAACUCCAGGAUCAACGAGUUUAUCUAAUUUCGUCCCACUUUGCAGUGUGAUGACGUUAGCAUGGACUUUCGGAUUGGGUUGAGGUUAUCCUAUAAAUGUGACAUUAGGAGAAGCAGUAACCUCUUGUUAUUGAUCUAUAAAUGGCGUCAACCUUGUUUUCCGAUUCUUUCACCAACUCGUUUGUGUGAAGAUUUUGAUUCAUGAAUUCUUUAUUUUGCUGGGUCUAGGUUGUGAUGAAGUUUUCCAUAAUUAAUUCCAAAUUUUACUUUCUAGGAGCGGAAGGAGCAACCGGGGCUCAUUUUUGUAAACCUAGAGGAGUUGUUGGUGGUGGACUGGAAGCAAAUAAUGUGUUGUUGUUCUUGUAGGAAAAGUUUGGAUGAUUUCUCCAUCCAGGGUUAUAGGAGUUCGAGUAAGGAUUUCCAUGUGCAUAGUUAACUUGGUCAGGUGGACUUCCUGUCAAAAGCUUACAAUCUGUAGUGACAUUCCCUUGGACUCUACAGAUAUUGCAGUUUGGAGUUACAACAGCUACGGUAGUUGGAUGGGUAAUAAUUAAGUUGUUGAUCUUUCGAGUAAGUGCAUCGACCUUAACACUUACAUGAUCUAAGCCAUUAAGUUCGAACAUGACUCUCUUUUGUUGUGUUUUCUCUACUUGAUCACGUUCGGUCCCCUAUUGAUAAUGGUUAUGGGCUAUGUUUUUUAGAGAACUGGUUCUGUUGCACUAUUUGCACCAAAGAAGGUUUCAAUUCGAAAGUGUUUGCCUGGAUUGCAGGUGAAACAAUGCUUGAGUGUGGCUCGUCCUCGGAUGGAACAACGUAAUCCUUAAGAGGACGAUUAUUGGGUUCAACCACAGGGAUGAAUAUGGCUCUAAGUUCUUGUAAUCGGGGUUUGAUGAAGGAAACACUCGAUUUUGUUAAUAGGUUGUUCUAACUCGUCUCCAUUUAAGCAAGGGUUGGGCAUACAACCGAGAGAAAAGGAAAAUAAGAUCGCAUUAGUUUAUGUAGUGCUACAACAGAAUCACAAUAUUGAUUGUUGGUCCCCGACAACGACACCAACAAUUUUGUAAGUAUCCCGCAAGUGCAUUGAAAAAUCAGUUAUAAUAUAAAAAACAUUGAACUCGCAGAGAUCAAUGUCAACCUACCAUUAUCUAUUGUCGCUUUGUAAAUCUAAGGCUAUCGGUCAAAGUUUUGUUUGAAAAUGAAUUAAAAUAAAUGGUUUAUGAAUUAAUAGAAACGGAGACCAGAAUGUAAUUUUAGAGUACCUUUGGGACUCAGAUAAAAUUCAGCACUUCACUUUGUUUUAAAAAUCACUUUCAGAAGAAUUAUUAAUUUAAAAAUACUGAUCAUUUUUGCACAUCCCGUAUUGAAUUUAGGAACCAUAAUUGCCUGCUGUCGCACGUUACAAGUUACAAUUCUGAAAACUUUUUUGAAAAUCAACCGUCCUUAAUUAAAUAAUAAAGCAAUUUUGUUGUUUUUAAAAAUUAAAAAUUCGAACUUUAACGAUAGGAUACCGCUUUCACACUAUCGCGCUGAAAUCAGUAUCUAAAUAUUGUUCACUUUCACGCAAAAAAUUUAACUUUUUGAAACAAAAUUCAGAACCAAAAAAUUAUUUUAUUAUAAAAGUUCACUGCUAAUAAUUUUAUCGAGUCUCAUCAGAACGAUGAUCCUCACAUCCCAGACUCUAAAAACUUAGUCAAACAUAUCUAAUUUGAUUAAACUCAUGUAGUUAUUCUGCAUAACAAUUAAACUAGACAUGAACAAUGAUUUAAUAAUAAAAAUGUGAUGUUGAUGGUAACUAUAUAUAUAACGAUCCUCACAUCCCGGACUCUAAGAGCUUAGUCAAACAUAUCUAAUUUGAUUAAACUCUUAUUCUACAUAACAAUUAAACUAGACAUGAACAAUGAUUUAAUAAUAAAAAUAUGAUGCUAAUGGUUAAAAUAUAUAUAUAUAUAUAUAAUAUAUAUAUAUAUAUAUAUAUAUAUAUAUAUAUAUUAUAUAUAUAUAUAUAUAUAUAUAAUAUAUAUAAUUAUAUAUAUUAUAUAUAUAUAUAUAUAUAUAUAUAUAUAUUUGUGUGUGAGUGUGUGUGAACGUGAAUCAGCAGUGAAUAUUAGUAUGAGUGCAUCAGCAAUCUAACAUAUAAAAUAGUAAUAGCAGUAAAGUUAAGGGACAAAAAUUAAACGUGCUGAAAGUAAAUAACUGCAAAAUCUAAUACUGCAAGAAUUUUGAAAUAAAUUCUAAGAAAAAUAUUCCGGCAGGGUUACAAUACGAACGAUUCAAAUUUCUUCGGUGAAACUUCUGAUUCUAACUCUAAAGUGAAUCCAUUCCUCAGUGUGAAAAAUAGUUGCUUUACAAAAUUACUUUUCUGCCUAACAGUUACUCUAGAAAAACAUGGAUCAUGAAAAGCUGAAAACUCAACCUAUUUAUAGAGCUAAAACCAAUGUCAAGAGUGUUGAAAUCGUGUUGGAAGAGUGGGAGAAAAACUGUUGAAGUGGGAGAAAAUUGAGUCCAAUUAGUUGUUAUCUUUUUGGGCACGAAGUUCAUGGCAGACGCCAUGGCCUCAUGAUGAAUGUCGUGAUUAUAAAUGUUGUGGAACAUGGAUUUAGGUCUAUGGCAAAUGUCAUGGCUUCAUGGAGAAUGCCAUGAGUUCAAAAUUGAUGUUCCCACAUUCGUCUUGUUUACUUGGUGGGGCACAUGGCUCCCACGUCAUAGCAAGGGCCAUGGUGAAUGCCAUGAGUUCAGAAUCUUUGUAUUUUCUUCAUUUUACGUCAUUUUUGUCUCGUUUUCUCGCACAAAUGCUCAUAUCUGGAAAAUACCUUAAACAAAUAUAAUAUACUAGCAUAACACAAUAAAAAGGAGACAAAAUAAGCUAAAAUGUCAUGUGCAUCGAUUCAGAAAUGUGAUGUGUUUAGUGGUUACCAGGCUGUUGACAAAGAAGGGAGUUGUUCAAUCAACGUUUUACUAUGCCAAUCACUCGGACAAGAAAUCGGUGGGAUCAAGUUGGAUUUCCAUAUACGAAGACUUGGAGAAGAAUUAUUGUGGAUAGUAAGGUUAUUGGAUCAUGAUAUUUAGGGAUCUUAUUUUUGUUAGCAAUUGGAGUGUCUGCAUCAAUAGAGGGAAUUAUUGUGUGAUGUUUCAUUGAAAUUAAAAUGAUUGUAUUAAACUUUUCAAAAUAGUGGAAUAUCAUGAUUACUUUUUUAUGGUUCUUUAAUACCAUUGGAGAGUGGAGUAGGAAAAGCGAGGACGAACGUCAAACCACUAUAUAUCUUCGUGUAUCUUUUCCUUAUUCCCUUACCUCUUUUAAUUUUCCAACAUUCAUUUAAUAUUGUUAUUGCAUUAGUGCAUUAUUGCAUUGAUUGUAUGUCAUUUAGGUUAUAUUGUUCUCAUAAAGAUUUAAUGUGUAAUCUUAGGUAUGUGAUGCAUCAAUCUUGUUGGAUCAUCAUAAGUUCAAUCAUGUCUUGAAUGAACAACUAUUUAAAGUAUUUUUAAAUCUCUUUGUUUUAAAGCGGCUUUGGUUAUCUUGUAACUGAUUUUAAUUAGAAUUAAUCAAGUCCUUAGUAAUAUCUUAUAAUAUCUCAAUUGGUUUAAUUUAUUGAGAUGAUUCCAAGCUCUCUUAGUGUUGUGUUUUGCAUCCACGUUUCUUAAAAUAUUUGAUUUUUUAUGGGGCCUAAAAUAUUUUUUAAAUUGUCUUUUUGGGGAUAGGUCUAUUCAACCCUCCUUCUAGAACUCUUUGUGUCCAUAUUCUCACCCAAUAAUUGGUAUAAAAGUGGGGCUUUUGAUCAAAGUCUUGCGACUCCAAAAGUGGAGGAUAUGGUUCCAUCGAUCCUAUAAGAGUUUUUCUAUCAGUUUAAAAAGUUUAUGCAAUUUAAUAAAUUCCAAUUAUUUUACAAUGAUUUCCUAAUUUAUGAUCAUUCAUUGCAUGCAAUACAUAGAAUAACUUAAAGUAAAGCCUUACUAGUUAUUCUUCAAACAUUAAUUGUAUUUAAGAUAUUCUCUAAGCUUUUAUUCAUCCAUGAAUGAACUGACAAUAUUUUGAGGUAUGUUCAGUGUAACCAGAAACCUGACACUAUGUCUUAAAAUUUGUUUUUAAUUGAUCCUAAUUAAAGAUGGACAUGCAUUCACACAAUCACAUGCUUGAAGUUUUUGAGAAAUAGAAGAAAGAAAUAAAAAGUAUCUUCAAGUGGAAUGUUCUUCCAAGGUUAUCGUAAAAAGAAGAUGAAGACAUUUUAUGACUAUUGGCAAUGUUCUCUGAAGUUUCAACAAUCACAAAAUAUUCAAGAGUAGAAAUGUGUUCCUUGAAGUUCUAAUAAUGAUCAAAGAGAUGAAUCAAUUAUUUAAGAUUGAUAAGAUAUGUCAAUCAAUGAUAAUCAUAUCAUCUAUCGUUCAUGUUCAUUCGAAGCCUUAUGAAGCAGAGUCUGGUAUUAUUCUUCAAAAGUGAAAUAGGAUUUGUAUCCGAUUAAGUAAUAUGAUUGAUAAUAUUUUACCUUAUGAUAUUCUUGUUGUUGAUUACUGAUUGUUUUUAUAUGCAGCAAGUUGAGCCUGGAUUGUCUAAAUUGGUAUGAUUGUUUCAACCCUCCUUUAUUUCUUGUAUGUAUACAUAUGAUAAUUAUUUGCGUGCUAGAUGUGUUAUAUGUUUGAAAUGUGUAUGUGUAUGUGAUAUGUUUGUGCAUCUCAUGCCUUAAUCAUUCAACCAUUCAAUGCAUAGGUUUAAAUUUUAUUUCGUCUGUUCAUUGCAUCUAUAUGCAUCUUUCAUCCAUUCAUGCAUCACCAUUUAUCUGUUUAAUUAAAAUCAUUUUUGAAUUCACAUUAAAAAUUAUUUAUCAUUAACAUCAUCAUUUAAAUUUUAAUUUCAUUAAAAAAAAUUCAUGCAUUAACUUUUUCUUUAAAAGUUUUUCAUUAAUUUUUUUUUAAAAUUUGACUGCUUUAUUCGAAUCACUUUUUAAACCUGAUUCGAAUCAGAAGUCUAGGUGUUGGUGAGUUUUGGGGAUGUGUAAAUUGAUUCGAGUCAGACAUUAUAUUUUAUUCAAAUCAAAGUUCUUUUUUCUCAAAAUAAAAAACUAGUGAUUAGAAUCACAUUUAACACUUGAUUCGAAUCUUAGACCUAAAAGUCACGCUACUUUUUUUUUUAAAAAUUGUUCAAAUUUUUAAAUUCAUUUCAUUUCAACUCCAUUUCAAAAACCUUCCAUUCCUCUCGAAACCAAUGUUCAUGAAAAACCUCUGCAUUCAUGAAUCAUCAACACAUUUAUCAUCAAUCAUCAUCUCUCUUCAUCACAUUCAUCAUCAAAACUCAUUAGCCUCCACCAUCAUGUCUUCAAGCUUUCCCAUAAAAGGAUUUGUCAAAAAAGUAAAAGGGCAAGAGACAAGUUUCAUCAUCAAGCCAUUCUCAUCCACAUAUUCUAAAUAAGCCAAGAAGCAAAGUUCAAACAAGCAAAGAAACUUUUAAUGCCAAAAUAGGAGUAAAUAUACAAGUAUUUAAGCAUCUGAAACAUGACAGUUAUUAUCUUGCUUAAAUUCUGAAGAAUUAUAUAUGUGCUUUAAAUGUUUAAAUUUAAUUAGCCUGGAUAUGACUUGGGAGGAUCACACAAACAUAACCCUAUAGACUGUUAGACUCAGGGGGAGCUUACAAACCUCAGACCUUAAAGUCAACUAGUUAAUUAAAUUAUCAACCAUUGUUCUUAAAUAAUUAUGUUUGUCAUUAUAAAAAACGGGGAGAUUGCUGGAAUAAAAUUGGGUUGUCCCACGUCCCUUAAGUUUUGAUGAUAACAAAGUAUUUUUUAAAAAAUUGGGCAUACUAAUGUAUGUUCAAGUGUGUAGGACCAUAGACUUAAAUUUCAUAUAGAAUCCAAGUAUUGAUUCUGACUAUGAACAUUCAAUUAGGAACUUGAAGAUCAAAAUCGGAUUGAUCAAAAGUUGCAGAGCAGACUCUAAAUAAGUCAUCUUCUAAAGAGAUCAACGUCUGAAGGUCAGAUCUGAAGGAGUCAGCCUCUGAAGACCAGACUUUGGAGAAGUCUACUUCUGGUGAUCAAAACCUGAGUCAACCAAAGCGUAAGGACCAAGGUAACACUGAUAAGUCACUGUUUAUCUCUGAACAUACUUUGUCACAUGAAAAUCUAAGCUCUAUUUUUUUCAUAUAGUAUGUUGGGACACAACUGCUAAUUCCUUUUGUAACAAAGGGGUUUCAAACUAGCAUUCACCUAACCUAACAGUUUGGUGAAACAUUCCAACAUUUCUUUUGAAGCUUCUCAAAGGUCUCUAUUGUUCUGCAUCUUUAACGACUCUUUUUAUUCUCUAUUUAAGGAGCUAAAAAACUUGAGAAAAAUAUGGGCAAUGAACACCAAUUGACAUCAAAAGAGAAGUUACUCUGUCAAAACAAAGCACAAGCAAAACUUAUGAUUUCCUAUUCUUCUAUAUCUUAGAAAUUCUUAAGUCUUAAAAGAGUUUAUUUGUUGUGUAUUUUUUAUACAUCUCUGGUUGUAUAUCAAGUGUAUUUUCCCAACAAUUAUUUAUCAGCUAAGUAGAUUAUAAGAAGUCUCUUACUAAGUGUUUGAGCAUUGGAAGUCUCUUGCUUGUGUGCUUAAGCAAAUAAGUAUCUUGCUUGUGUGCUUGAGCAAAUGAAGUCUCUUACUUUAGUGCUUGAGAAAAUGAAGUCUCUUGUUUGUAUACUUGAGCAUAAAAGUCUCUUACUUGUGUGUUUGAGAAAAGGAAAUCUCUUGCUUUUAUGCUUGAGCAAAUUGUAAUCUUGUGUGAUUAUAGUGAAAAUCUCUUGUAAGUACAAGGGGACUGAACUACUCUCAAGUUGUAAUAGAAUCUAGGAUAACUCUGUGUUGUUCUUCUUUCUUGUAUUUCAUAUCCACUUCCUACCCCUAACUAAAUCAAAUUCUAUAACCUUGUAUUUAGAAUCUAACUUAAGAGUUUAAAAAGAAAGAAAUAGAAAACACAAUUCAAUUAUGUUUUUCUCACCCUUACACACAAAGUACAAUAUAAAGAGCACCAUGUCAUAGUUGGUCACUAUCAUACCCCAAUUUUUCUGGGCAUUUUAAAUUCAUCUAAUACAAGUCCAUUUGUCCAAUUUUACAUUUUUAGCCAUCUGCAUUUUUAUCAUCAAAUAAAGUCACCAUAAUUAUUCAUAUAUGUAUAUAUAGUAAAAAAGUCAACAUAAAGUCAAUAUUUUACAUGUUGAAGAAAUUGAUUAAAAUUACAUUUUUUUAUUGUGCAUUUUGAAAAAUAAAUUCAAGAUUAUUUGAUUUAUCAUCAAAAUAUUCAUUUGAAUUUUAUUAAUCAUUUUCACGCAUCAUAAAAAAAAUCAAUGUUUCUAGAAAAUCCAAAAUGUCUCUCAUUUAUUACAUCAUUAUUCCAUGCAUAUAUUACAUAAUUAUUUCAUGUAUAUAUUAAAUCAUUAUUCACUAUUUAAUUAAAUAAGUUUCUAGAAGACACUCACACUCUUUGCAUAAUUCAUAAACUACCCUUUUUAGAGCCUAUAAAUAAAAUCAUUCUCAUUCACAAAUCUUACCAUCAAUCAUUCACAAAAACUAAGCUAAAACUCUCUUCAUUUUUAUUUUCAUUUUCUUUCAAGUCAUUUCUUUCUUUUUAUUAAAUAGGUAGGCUCUUAUGCUUGCUCUUUAUUUAAUUCUGUUGCAUUUUUACUGUUGUUUUAUUUAUUUAGUAUCUUAAUCGUCACCAUUUUAUAUGAAAACUCAAUUGAUUUUAAAUCAAGAGUUGAAAAGUGUUCUUGAACCUCCAUAAGCAAAAGUGAUUUGUUGUUGUUUUAAAUAGAUCUUAUGUUUGUUCUUUAUUUAAUUCUAUUGUAUUUUUACUUUUGCUUUAUUUAUUUAGUACCUUAAUCAUCACCAUUUUGUAUGGAAACUCAAUUGAUUUCAAAAUCAAGAGUUGAAAAGUGUUCUUGAACCUCCAUAAGCAAAAGUGAUUUGUUGUUGUAUAUUGAAUCUUAUGCUUGUUCUUUAUUUAAUUCUAUUGUAUUUUUACUUUGGCUUUAUUUAUUUAGUACCUUAAUAAUCACCAUUUUGUAUGAAAACUCAAUUGAUUUCAAAAUCAAGAGAUUAAAGUAUUCUUGAACCUCCAUAAACAAAAAUAGUCAAAUGUAAAUUUAUGUUUGUUUUGUAUAAAUAAUGUAUCCAAUAACUUUCCAACAUCACUCUGAGCAUGAAUCUAUAGUUCGUUUGUCAUGAGGGUGUAUAAAAAUGACAAAUCAAGCAAAUAUAUGUUGCUGCAUUUUGUUGAUUUUCGAUUUUUUAGUUGUUUAUUUUCUGAUUUUAUAUAUACCAUUAUGUUUGUGAGAUCGAGUAGAUAGAUCUUAAUUAUUUAUUUGCUUAAUUCUGUGAAAAAUUGAGAAAAUUAUGGUGUGUUUACGUUUUUGUUGGAACCAUUUUUCUUUCAUUUUUGUUGUUACGGGAAUAGUAAUCAAAUAUGGGGUUGGGGAAGAUGUAGUCUUCCCACACCCCUUGAUUGCUCAGCACACCCCUAUAGGCCCCCAUCCUUUGGACCUAGAGUAUUUUUCUAGCUACACCCUCAAUUUUCAAUUUGUUUUUUUCUUUUGUAUAUUUGUUUUAUUUAUUAUUUUCUUAUUAUUGCUUUAUCUAUUUAUUUUUGUUCUUUCUUUUAUUUCCUUUGGUUUUUUUUAAUUCUUUUACCUUUUGUGUUGAUAGUGUGUCCCAUCCCUUUUAUUAUUUUUAUUACCUUUUUUAUUGCUUUAUUUUUUAGUUUAUUUUCUUGUAUUUUUAGUUGAUUCAUAAUUGUUAAUUCAAAAAGAUAAAAUGUCUAUUAAAAUUUACAUUUCAAAAAUACUAAAAUCAAAUGUGCUUGAUCAACAUCAAGUACAUUUCUCAAAAUCAUUUCCAAAUCCCUUUUUGUUUUAAAAUCAAAUUCAAAACCUCGAUUCAACGUCGAGUAUUUUAUUAAAUCAAAACUAAAACACUUUAAUUAUACUUGAACGUUAUUUAGAAAUGAAAAGGGGGAAUGGUUUCGAGCCUUUGACUCCUCUCCUCAAUUGUUUCAGUACGAGUUAUCUUUCUCGAUUAGUCAAACAAUGGUCAUUUCUCUUAAAAACUUCUAAACCAAUUAAAUAAAAUUAUUUUCAUAAUAAACUAAACGAAAACAGAGAUGGUCUAGAGCCUUCGAUUCCUCUCCUCAAAUACUUGGAUACGAGUUGCCCUACUCGAUUAUUCGAGUAUUCAUCAUUUAUCUAAAAAAUAUCAACCAUACAUAAACCCAUUUUUCUAACAAAUUAGAUGAAAAAGAGGAUGGUAUCGAGCUUUCAUUUCCUCCUCCUGAAUACUUGAAUACGAGUUGCCUUACUCGACCAUUGGAAUAUUCGUCAUCCAUUUAAAACACCUUAAUAUUAUCAAAUCCUUUUGCAAUUAAAGAUGAAAAGGGAGAUGGUCUUAGCCUUCGAUUCCUCUCUUUGAUUAUUUGGAUACGAGUUUCCUUACUCGACCAUUCGAGCAAUCAUCAUCCAAUAAAAUAUCUCAACACAUCAAACAUAUCUUUUUCUCGCCCCCAUGCGAUCAAAAACCUUUUCAAAAAGAACAUUGUUCAAUCCCUUCUAAUGUGCAUAACAAACUAGUGCUUAAGCCUCUGCCGAGAGUAGACAAGUCAAUGUUUAGCCUUUAGAACACGAUCUAAACAAUUGUUUAUUAAAAGACACCAACAAACUGUAGUUCCCUGAACUACGAAUGCUCUAAUUUACUUAUUGCACUAUAAGGAUACGUAGGCACGAGAUUGCAAGAUCUUGGCAAAAACACUAAUAAAAAAACCUCAUUUCCCCCCCUUUUUGAGGUUUUCUUUCAUUUCUCUUUUCAAUCUUUUAUUUACUCGAAGAAAAUAAAUAACUUUUAUCUAGCAUUCAAAUUGAAAAUUAGACUAAAAGGUUCCCGUUGAGUACAACAGACGUGAGAGAUGCUAAUAUCUUCCCCUUUCGUAAUUGACUCCCGAACCCGAAUUUGGUUGCGACAAUCAUUAUCCUUUUUUUAAAGGUUUUAUCGAUAUUUUCCUUUCCUUAAUUGGAAUAAAUAAAGUUCGGUGGCGACUCUGUUUGAACACAUAUUUCCGCGACCAUCGUGAAGGAUUGUAUUUUUCGAAAUGCGACAGUCACGUCACCACACGUAUUAGAAGAAGGCUAUGAAGCGUUCUAAUGAUGAGAUUGCAUUUAAUGUCUUUGUUCCCCACUAAUUUUUCAACCGAUUCCAUACAUUUCAGUUCUAUUUCACAUCAGACAACAUCCUAGAGGCCAACCAACAUCGCUUAAGGCUUCAUAUGGCUCCUUCACUUCCCGAUAAAGCCUUGGGGGCAACUCUUAUGGGCCAACCAAAGGCCAAACUAGUCAAGGCUCGAUGCAUAUAAAAUCCACUCCACUUUACCUAGGGUAUAAAUUAGUUCACAUGCAAAGGGCAAAGUGUAUUCUAUGAUCUAUACUUUUCACUACAGUUAUAUUGAAUCUUGAACUAACUUUGGCGUUGGAGUACUAAGCAUGCAGGUCCAUCCUGUGUCGUCGUAUAGGAGAUCAACACCACUCAUUCAAGAGUUUUAGUUCUCCAACUGCAUCUAUUUAUGAUUCUUGAACGAAAUAAUAACUAACUUCAUAUGUGUUUACUACUAACUCUAUAUGUGGUUACUACUAACUCAAUAUGUGGUUACUAACUAGAAAUUAAUUAGUUAGUAGUAUGUGAAGGAGAAUUGCGGUCCAAAACACAACGGAAAUUAAAAUUUUCUCCUUAGAGAUCCUUACGAAUGGUCAUGAUCAGUGAUAGAAUAUUUACCUCUUGUGACGAUUGAAACCUUUCGUGCAGAUCUCUUGUGACGAUCAAAACCUUUGAUGCAGAUCCACGGAGCGAUCACGAACGUUGAACGAUGACAACGUCUCUACUCAGUCCACACGAACAGAUUCCUUCACUCUCAGUGCUAGCUGGUACGAAUGAAGGCUUUGAGUGAGAGAGAGAGAGAGAGAAAGAAAAUAAUGCAACCGCUAUUUUAUGCUUCUGCACAAGGGUUCUAUUUAUAGAACCACUUGUGUGGGCUUCAAGCUAAAAAGCCCACUUAAGUGUAUUUUGGCCCAUAUCUUAUAAUAUGCCCAAAAUCACUUAAGCCCAUGGUACCUUACCAUAUUUCGUAUUCUACUCAAGUACACCGUACCUUACGAUGUUCUAUAAUUCACUUAAGGGCACCGUACCUUACGGUAUUCCUUAGUUACUCUAUCUCUCAUCAAUCCGUCCUUUGUGUGUGACCCUGUAGGUUUUCGUGACGUUGGAAAUUAUAUUAAAUCACGCAUUUAACAUAAUAAACAGUGAGCGGUAUCUAGCAACACAUCACUGCUACCCAAGACACGAAAAUGUCAUGUGAUCUGACAAAACCUUCUGUGAUAAUACUUAUGUGUAUAAUUACCCUUUUGCCCUUAUGUCUAUAUUGAACACAAGGUAUAGACCGUGUCAUCCUUGUCCAGUUCAAUAUUGGGCCCAUAGACAUUUAUCCUGUUACGCAGGAUGGGCAAAUUCCAUCUAGGUCACUCAUGUCCCUCAGCAUGCUUCGUGGAGUACCCAUCAACUGUCUUUAUGGUUAUCCAGUUACGGACAACGUUGGAUCAGCAAUAAAGCACUCGACUCUACAUCUAGGAUCCAUAGUGGUUUCAGGUCGAAGAGUGGUAUACACUAUUAUCACCAUGAGAAUAACUUAUGACACUUUGCAUAACUUUCUAUAUAGUAUUCUCAUAGCGGGUCAAUCCGGUAUAAAUAUUACUCCUAAUAUUCAUACCUAUGUUUAAGACUUGAUAACUCUUUAUCCAUGAUCCAUGAGAUGUGAUCAUCAGUCUACAAACAUAAUAGUCUUAAUGCUUUAAUGUUAUCCCACUUCACACUAAAGCUCGACUACGGAUACUUUAAGAAUAGUGUCCUUAUGUUUAAUGUGUUCUCAUGAUUAAGUCACACUUAAUACAUUAAACAGACUAUCUAUUCCAGGGACUUUAUUAAUCAACCAUAAUAAAGAAAAUGCCUUUUAUUAUUAAUAAAUAAUUCGAUAUAAGUAUCAAAAAAGUAUUGGCCUCUAGGGCUUACACCAACAGUAUGAUCAUAUUUAAAUGAUGUAACUCUUAUUUGUAUUGUUCAUUAAGUCAAAUUGAAUACAAUCACUCCUUUGAUCCUUCCCAAUCUCGCUUUAUUUCUCUAUUCCCCUCAUUUAUUGUAGAGAAAUAAAAAUUGUGUUAUAACAUUAUUAAGCCAGUUUAGUCGGUAGUUGUAAAAAAAAUGAGAUUGUAGGUGCACGUGUUCAAAGCUACAACAUUCCACUUAUUUCAUUUAUAACAUAUUUUUAUACACACAAAAAAACAACAACAAAAUACCCUCUUUUAUUUGCUUUACUGGUUUUUUAAGAGUUUGUUUGAUAAAACCAAAAAGUUAGCUUUUAGCUUUCCAACUCACAUCAAUAAAAAAAAAUCAUGUUUGAUAACAAUUUUUUAGCACAAGGUUGUACCUUUUUUUUACUAGCUUUUGACUUUUUUUCAAAUGUUAUUUGAAGUAACUUUUGAACUUAUAUCUUUUAGUUUGUCAUUUCAUCUCCUAUUUUUUAUUCUUAUUAUUUUAAUUAAAAUUCAUUUUUAUCAUUUAUAAUUUAUUAUAAUUUAAAUUAAAAUAAAUAUUUUUUUAAUUGUAAGCAUAGAAAAGUAAAUUUUUUUAUCUAAAAAUAUUGUACUGCAAUGCUUCCUGCCUUCUCUUACUCGUCGUUUUCACUUCACUUUCCUCCAUUCUCUUCCUCAACAUAUUUCACCCUUAUUUUUUAUUGUUGUCGUUCUUCACUAUUAUUUCGUCAUUUAUCAUCUAUCACCAAAGUAUUUAUAUGAGUUUAAUACAUUUUGGUUUUAUGUUAAAUUUCCCAUAUAUAUUUCAAAUAUUUUACAUGUAUUUAUUGUUAUAUUUAAUUUUAUCAAAUGAAUUUUCAUUUAUUAAUAAUAUAAAAGAUAAUGGAACCUGGAAGUUAUUAAUUAAAAAUCUCCUUUUACAUUUUUUAUAUUUAUUAAUUAAUAUGUACUAAUUCAUUAAACAUUAUAAUUAAUUUAUUACUCCCUCGUCUCAUAAAAAGUGUCUCAUUUAUACUUUUUAUUUAUCUCAAAAUAAUUGUCCUUUUAUAAUAUCAAUGCAACAUUUAUUACUAUAAUUUUUCCACUACUAUACCCCUAUUUAUUAAUAACUUUUACUUUAUUCAAAUACUCUAUUAAAUAUAAUUAGUAAGGGUAUUCUAGUAAGUAAUAUUAGUUUUAUCAUUAAAAUUAAUACAUCAAAUCAUUUUCUUAAAAAUUGCAAACUCUUCAAAUAAAACACUUUUUAUAAGAUAGAGGGAGUAGUUAUUAAUUAAUUAUUAAUGUUUCGUUAUCAAUUAGUUAUUAAUAAUUCAUCAUUAGCGAUCACAUAUACUCUAUCAGCUACCUUUUACCUAGAAAAUUUAAAAUAUUUGUUAACUUUUUUUAAUUUAAUAAUAUGUCAUUUGUUUAAAAAUAUUAACUUUUUUAUAUAAAAAGUAUCAUUAGAAAUCAAAUAAGGAAAUUUCCGCAUUCAUUCCAUAUGUGUGUUAACCACUUGCACAAAUUAGUUUAUAUAAAAUAUUAUUUAUAUUAAACUAUAAGAAAGUGAGAGACGUUUGAAUAAAACAUGUGUUUAAAAGAUACUAUGGAGAUUAUAUUAUAUAGAGAGAGAUUACAACUAAUUACAUGUUAUAGUCGAUGUGAGACUAUUUUAUAUACAAAUAUUCUAAAUACUCCCCCUUAAGCUAGAUCAUAUAUGUCCCAUGAGUUGAGCUUGUUUUAAAUGUAAUCCACUAGAGAACCCCUAAGAGACUUUGUAAACAUAUCCGCUAAUUGGUCUUCAAAUUUUACAAAAUAUAUUGUGAUUUCUCAUGAUAAUACUUUGUCCCUUAUAUAAUGACAAUCUAUUUCUAUGUGUUUGGUCUGUUCAUGGAAAACCAUAUUAGAUGCAAUGUGAAGUUAUGAUUAAUUAUCGCAUAUGAGUUUUGUGUUUCGAAGAUCUCCUAUCAUAAGUUUUGAGAGUAAAACACUUUUCAGCCAAGGCAAACUCCUUUGAGGCUGCUGCCAUAACAUGGUAUUUAGCUUCAACACUAGAUAUAUAACUUUAUUUUAUUUCUUGUUUCUACCUGAGCUCAUAUUACCUCAAUCAAAAUACAAUUAUCCGGAUGUGGAUCUCCUAUACGACGGUGAUUUGGCCCAGAAUGCAUCUGAAUAAUAAAUGAUUUUAGCAUCGCUUUUAUCUUCAUAUAAUAUCAUGUUUCUGGUGAAUUCUUUAUAUAUAUAAUAUAAUAUAUAUAUAUAUAUAUAUAUAAUAUAUAUAUAUAUAUAUAUAUAUAUAUAUAUUAUAAUAUAUUAUAUAUAUAUAUAGUAAGAAAUUCGAAUGACUGCAUUCCAAUGACUAUCACAAGAAGCAUUCAGAAACUGUCUCAUAGUGCUCAUUGCAAAUGUAAUAUUCGGUCUGCUGACUGUAAGAUAGUUGAGUAUUCUCAUAAGCCGUCGAUGUCUUCUUAGAUCUUUCAAUGGCUCCCCCUGACCAGGAAAAAGCUUGAUGUUGGGAUCCAUAGGAGUAUCAACAAGACGUCAAUCAAUCAUACUUGUUUCACUAAGAAUGUCUAAGGUAUACUUCCACUGGUUAAUUGCAAUACUGGAUGGGGACUAGAAAACUUCAAUACCUAAGAAGUAUAUGAAUGGACCCAAAUAUUUUUUCUGAAAGUUUUUGAAAAUAUGAGUUUUAAGUCGCUGGAUACCCUCAAUAUCGUCUCCUGUGAUAACAAUGUCAUCAACAUAGACCACAAGAAAGAUGCACCGACCGGUGAAGGAAUGAAGGAAGAAAACAUAGUGAUCUGCUUCACAUCUAGUCAUACCAAAUUGUAUCAAGGCAUAGCUUCAACGAACAAACCAAGAACAUGGGGACUGUUUUAUCCCAUAAAGGGAAUGGUGAAGCCGACAAACAAGUUUAGAAUUGACAAGAAUAGUAAAACCUGGAGGUUGAUUCAUAUAAACUUCCUCCUCCAAUUCUUCGUGUAAAAAGAAAUUUUUAAUGUCCAACUGAUGAAGUGACCAAUGGUGAAUAGUAACCAUUGCAAGAAAGAGACAAACUGAACUAAUCUUGGCCACCGAAGAAAAGGUGUCACCGUAGUCAAGACCAAAUAUCUGUGUAUAUCCUUUGGCUAUCAAACAGGCUUUGAAACGAUCGAUCUGACCAUCUGGUCUAACCUUCAGUGUAUAAACCCAUCGAAAUCCCACUAUAGUUUGUCUGGAGGUAAAGUAAUAAUGUCCCAAGUUUUAUUUGAAUGUAAUGUAGCCAUUUCUUCCACCACCUCCUGACGCCAAUUGGGAUCAAUCAUAGCUUCACCCGUAGACUUAGGAAUAAACACAUAAUCUAAAGCAGGCAUAAAAGAUACAUAGGAAGCAGAGAGAACUUCAUAAUUUAAAACAAAAUCUUAUUUAUGAUUAGGAUUAUGAGAUCAAAUACAUUUUCAUAAUGUUAUUGGAAGGUCAAGUACGGGUGACGUAACUGAAGGAGCAAUUGGAGCAGGAGAUGAUGUUGUGGAUCAAUAUCUUCUCUAACCUCCAAUGAAUGGGGUAUCUGUCAUUGGUAGACCUAUAAUGGAGGUGUAAUGGGUGUGGGAAUUAUGUAAGGGAUAUCUCGAGCAUCUGAAGUACCAUUCUUACCAGGUAACACAAAGGUAGAGAAAAAUGGUGAGGUUUCAAAGAAUGAGACAUCGAAGGAAACAAUGUAUCAUUAAAGUUGGGGACAAAAACAACUAUAUCCUUUUUGUAUACACGAGUAGCCUAGAAAUAUACAUUUGAGAGAUUUGGAAGAAAGUUUGUCUUUACUUGGACUGAGGUCAUGAACAAAGCAUGUGCAACCAAAGACGCAAAUAGGUAUGAGGUAGAGAUUAUAUUGUGGGUUCAAGAAAAAGUAUGGAAUUUGAUAUUGAAGGAUCAAUGAAGGCAUUCAAUUAAUAAGGUGACAAGUUGUGAGAAGAGCAUCACCCCAAAAACGAGAAGGAACACUAUGGUGAAAUAAAAGAGUUUGUGCAAUUUCAACUAAAUGACGAUUCUUCCAUUCAACGAUAAUAGUUUGUUGUGGUGUGUGAGCAAAUGAUAAUUGAUGAAUAAUCUUAUGUGAUGUUAAAAAAGAUUGAAACUGGAAUGACAUGUAUUCAAGAGCAUUAUCAACGCGUAAAUUUUUAAUGUAAUUGUCAAACUAAUUUUUAUUUUCGGCAUAAAAUUCAUGGAAUAUAUGGAAGACAUUUGAACGGUUUUAAAAAAAAACAAUUACAUUGUGUAAAAUCGUCGAUGAAGGUUACGAAGUAAUAAUAUCUUAAAGUUGACUUGACACGACUAGGACCUCAAAUAUCAGAAUGAACUAAAGAAAAAGGUGACACAUCACUUUUAUUUACUCGUUUACAAUAGGUGUAACGAGUAUGUUUUCCUAAUUGACAUGACUGACACUCAAAUGUCGAAAACUAGUAAAAACUAGGAACUAAAAGAUGCAUUUUAUUAAAGCUAUGGUAAUAUAAACAUUGAUGUGUAAGGCUUUGAGAAGAAAUAGAAGCACAUGCCACUGGUGGUGAUAGAUAAUAUAAUCCUCCGAACUUACUCCCUGUUCAAAUCGUCUGUCCUGUACGUCAAUCCUGGACAUAAACAGACUUAUCAAUAAAUAAAACUGAACAAUCAAGAGUACAAGUGAGAUUUUUAACAUAUAUUAGAUUGAUAAGACAACCAUGAGUAUAAAGCACAAAAUCUAAAGACAGGUUUAGAAGUGGGUGUGCCUGAUCAAGACCUUGAAUUUUGAUUUUAGAGUCAUCCGCCACAAUGACAGAAGGCAAAGAAUCAGAAUAUAACAAGUGAGAUAAAACAAACUUAUUACCAGCCAUAUGAUCAGAGGCACCAGAGUCAAGGAUCCAAGGACCAAGGAGGAAGAUGUAGAGACAAAGGCUAGAGGAUUACUAGACCGAGCAACAAUGGUAGAAAAUGAUGGUUGAUGAGCUGCUUUAACUGAAGGAACUCAUUUUAAUCAGUGGCUGGAAUAGUAACUUCUUUGGUAAUAGUGGGUUAGACGUCAGCUGCAACCCUAGGUUGUCGUUGUUGUUCUCUUGCCUUUGUACGACAUUCAACUUCAAUAUGACCUGAACAUGUGUUUAUAAGUUGGGACAAUCAUCACCCUACAAGUCAAUUUUAUAGGGUGAGUUAGGCCUAAAUCACACAUUCUUAAGAUGGUAUCAGAGUCUCGUUUAAGAUCCAUUGAACCAUCCACCAUUUAGUUCCACGCCCCAGACGCAAAUCCUGGACGUGAGAUAGGGUGUUAAAAGUCCCACAUCAGAUAAUCUAUGGUCUGAACAUGUGUUUAUAAGUGGAGAAAAUCCCCACCCUACUAAUCGGUUUUGUAUGGUGAGUUAGGCACAACCCACACAUUCUAAGAGUUUCACUAAUCAAGGACCAAUGGAGGAGGAUGCAGAGACAAAGGCUAGAGGAUUAUCAUACUGAGCAACGAUGGCAGAAGAUGAUGGUUGAUGAGUUGCUUUAAAUUGAAGGAACUCAUUAUAAUCAACAACUGGAAUAAUAACUUCUUUGGUGAUAGUUGGAUGAACGACAGUAGCAUCCCUAGGUUGUCAUUGUUGUUCUCUUGCCUUUGUACGACAUUCAACUUCAAUAUGACCUGAAAAUGUGUUUAUAAGUGAGGGUAAUCGUCACCUUACAAGUCAGUUUUGUAUGGUGAGUUAGGCUUAACCCACACAUGCUUAAAAUGAUAUUAUAGUCUCGUUUAAGAUCCAUUAAACCAUACAUCAUUUAUUUCCACACUUCAGACACAAAUCAUUGGCGUGAGAGGGGGUGUUAAGAGUCUUACAUUCAACUAUCUAUAGUAUGAACGUGUGUUUAUAAGUGAAUUCGCACCCUACUAGUCAAUUUUGUAGAAUGAGUUAAAUCCAACCCACAUAUUCUAAAAGUUUCAAAGAGUGAAAAAAAUGAUAAUUUAAUCAUUGACUUGUAACGAGUAAAAAAAAAGUAUUUUAUAUUAUUUUUAUUUUAUCAAAACAAACAUAAAUAACCUAUAUUUGACGUUACUUUAGCGCAUUACUACCGAAACCGAUUAUUUAGAAUUUUUUACAAAAAUAACCCACUUUUUCAAGGAAAAUCCCAAAAUACCCCUGGUUUCAAAAAAACUCCCAAACUACCCCACUUUUAGGAGGAGUCGCCAAUUGAAUUGGAGACUCCUCUUAAAAAUUGAAUGGAGGCGCCAAUCCAAUUGGAGACUCCUCCUAAAAUGCAAUUUUUUUUGGUAAAUGGUAUACGUGAUAGAUAAAUUUGAUAUAGGACCAAUUGAUAUUAAUAAAAUUUGCCGUUUACACAAAGAAACCUAAUGGUGAUGACCGGGAUCACGUAACCGACCUCCGGUCCCACAUCCUCUAGCUACCCUAACCCGUGGCCCUAACCCACGUUGAUGAUUCGGUAUAUUAAUAAAAUUUGCCGUUUACACAAAGAAACCUAAUGGUGAUGACCGGGAUCACGUAACCGACCUCCGGUCCCACAUCCUCUAGCUACCCUAACCCGUGGCCCUAACCCACGUUGAUGAUUCGGUACCGGUGUUUGAGCAUCUGAGGGCCAGGAGCAUCACUACCAACUACAGGAGAAAGUCUAUUGAGGUAGUCAGACAAGUCGACAUAGUCUUCAGUAUGCAUCGAUGAUGUACCACCGUAGCUGAGCUCAUGACCCAUGCCAGAGAAGUUGGGAUGUGGUUGACUCAUUGAUGGGCGACCGGGACGGUUGAAAGGAGACAUCGAUGUGUACGAUGCAUCGAGGAAAGGUUGGAAAGGUUGUUGGGGUGUUUGGUAGAGAUAGGGUUGUUGGAUGUUUUGGUUUUGUGAGGUUUGGGCUUCUUGGUUACGGUAGGAGGAGGGGCGGUUGGUGUUGAAUGAUCGUUGGGUGUUCUCGCUUAGGCGACUUUGGUAGGGUGAUGGGGUGGGUGCAAAGCGAUGUUGAGUCUCAGGUUCAUGGUCAAUUUGUUCGUGGUGUUAUGGGGUAUGCUCUUGGUAUUGGGGUUGGGUGUAUGGAAUGUUUUGUUGUAUGUUUGUGUGUUGGUUGAACGCAACGUUUGACAGACAGGGGGUUGUGUGUAUCCGGUAUGACACUGUUGUUGGGGGUUUAAUGUUGAGGUGUCAGGUGUGUAAGUCAUCUGGCGUGGGUCGUACAAGUACAUAUCCUCGGCGAUGAACUGAAAACCAACCGAUUUGUACCAAGCCAUAUAAGUACGACUUGGUUUUUCUCAGUUGCAUGACAUCGUCAGUGUAACCACAUGGUCAUUGACGUGGCUUCCAUUUGCGGACACUCGGAUCUUGCCGAAGAUUUGCCAUGGCAUUGAAGUCCAUUGGUCGUUAACUUUGCGCAAAUGCCAUUCUCCUAGGCUAGCUGGGGGAUCUGGGAUAUUUUGGGGCAUACCGAACUGCAGCUUCACACGAUCACUGUUGUGCAUCUCCACAGUUGUGAACCGUAUUAUCGGUGUGCAUGCAAUCCAUACGGCCGCGUCUUCAGUGUUGACUUGAUGGUCAUGAUCCAAAUUAAGGUAUGGACGCCAAAUAAACUGAAAUGUAAAAGAAGAUUGGAUUAUAGUCAAGGUAAAAGAAGUUAACAAAAUAUAACAAAAUAAUUAAGUUAUUUUCCUUACGUCUGUCGGUCGAAGGUGAUCUAACAGGUUGCGAUACUGAGUAAUACAGUGUCUUGGACAUCUGUUGUAACUCAUACCACGUGCAGACCAUCUACACGAAAAAUUCAAAAAAUAUUAGUUAGAGGUAAUAAUAUUUAAAGAAGUAAGUAAAGAUAUAGCAAUUUAAACAACUUACUUUUGUGCAUACGGAAAUGUGAAAGGGUUGUUGUUGACGGGGGCUAGGGACGGUAGUCUAGACCAACCCCAUGCUUGUAGCAAAACAACACAUCCAGAAAAUGUAGAUGUGUCUUUGUGUGAGUUUUUGCACAAGGAGCUAUAGAGAUAGGCUAGACAAGCAGAUCCCCAACUGUAACUUCAUAUUCUAUCUACAUGUUUAAGUAAAGGUAAAUACAUAAUAUGCAUGCUAGAACCACUACCUUCGGGAAAUAAAAACGAGCCAAUUAACAGCAUAAUGUAACACCUAGUUUUUAUUAUUCGAGCAUCUUCGGUAGAAUGCUCAUUUAAGUAUAAACUAUUAUAGUACGACUUAAGGCGUGAAAGUAGUAUACCUUAACCUCUUGCAUUAUCAUCUAACAAAUCAGUCUCCAAGAGAUCCAUGCAAAUUCAAUUCGCAUAGUUGGUUUUACCAUUAACAACCUUACCUUCAAUGGGUAUUCCCAAAAGCAUGUAGACGUCUUCUAACGUCACGGUACACUCAUCGGUUGGGAACCAAAAUGUGUAUGUCUCUGGUCUCCAUAUUUCGCAUAAAGCUAGAAUGAAUUUGUUAUCUAUGGACCAAGACAAAAUCUUGCUUAUAUGACCAAAACCGACGAGUUCAACAUAAGGUUGAAUCAUCGGGUCCAUAUGGACAUAUUCGUGGACCCGAGUUCGGAACCUUGAUACAUCCUAUAAAAGAAAGAACAAAAAACUUGACUAAGUUGGUAUGUUAAAAUAAAAGGGGGUUGGUGAAGAUGAAAGAUAAAAAGUUAACAAAAGAAAAAACUUACAUAUGUUGUGAUGUUUGCAACCGUUCCUCUAUGUGAUUCGCCCAUUGUGAGGAUAGACAUUUUGUCGGGGGGUUGGUGUAGAUGAAACUACAAGAAGUUGUUGCAGAUGAAAUUGUAGAAGAAGUAUUGUAGAAGAAGUAGUGAGAGUGAUGGUGUGGAAGAAGUGUUGAUGGAGUGGAUGUAUUUAUAGGCAAAUGGAUGGGAGCAUGAAAAGUUGUGCUUGCAUGGUGUCUCCACUUGAAUUGGCGACCAUGUACAACCUUUAAGAGGGGUCGCCAUUCAAAUUGGCGCCUCCAUAGGGACAUGCAUGCAAGACCUAGGUCUGAUUGCUUGGUUUCGAGGUCUGAAUGCAUGCUUUGACAAGGUGUCUCCACUUGAAUUGGCGCCCAUGUGCAAGGAAUGAGUGGGGGCGCCAAUUCAUUUGGAGUGUGUGUCUGCAUGUCUGACACGUGGCUGUCCUCUCUCUUGCAUGCUGAACAUGUCACUUCUUAGUAGCUUGCAUGGUUGACACAUCAUUUCGGAGUAGCUUGCAUGUGCGACACGUCACUUCGGAGUAGCUUGCAUGUGCGACACGUCACUUCGAACUAGCUAGCAUGUGAGACACUUCACUCCUCUAUUUAAGUGUCUUACUAUCAACAUCCAAGACACUUCACUCACAUUCAUCUGCAGUAAGAAAAUAGUUUUCAUCUGCACAAUGUCAUCUUCAUCAUUAUACAGUGUCAACGUUCACUACAACGGUGAAACAUACGAGUCUGAGCUAUAUGGUUUUUGUUUUCGAAACACCGAUACCAUUAGACUCACGAUCAAGAGAAAUGCAACCUUCUUGCAUUUGAAAAAAAGAAUACAAUCCUGUAUAGGAUCGGGUAUUGUGUCAAAGAUCACAUAUCAAAAUCCAAUAUUUUUUUAGAAUAGUCAAUGCAAGUAUUUCCCCCUUAAGGUACGAGACGAUGAAGAUGUUGAAUAC